rnacentral:rRNA from 1 species
AACGAACGCUGGCGGCAGGCCUAACACAUGCAAGUCGAGCGGACCCUUCGGGGUUAGCGGCGGACGGGUGAGUAACGCGUGGGAAUAUGCCCUUCUCUACGGAAUAGUCCUGGGAAACUGGGGGUAAUACCGUAUACGCCCUUUGGGGGAAAGAUUUAUCGGGGAAGGAUUAGCCCGCGUUGGAUUAGGUAGUUGGUGGGGUAAUGGCCUACCAAGCCGACGAUCCAUAGCUGGUUUGAGAGGAUGAUCAGCCACACUGGGACUGAGACACGGCCCAGACUCCUACGGGAGGCAGCAGUGGGGAAUCUGAGACAAUGGGGGCAACCCUGAUCUAGCCAGGCCGCGUGAGUGAUGAAGGCCUUAGGGUUGUAAAGCUCUUUCAGCUGGGAAGAUAAGGACGGUACCAGCAGAAGAAACCCCGGCGAACUCCGU